CACCGCGGUUAUACGAGAGACCCAAGUUAACAGUCAACGGCACAAAGGGUGGUUAGGGAACCUCAUGAGCUAAAGCAAAACCUUUUCAACGCUGUGAUACGCCCCCGAAAAUGUGAAACUCAAUCACGAAAGUAGCUUUAUUAAACCUGAAUCCACGAAAGCUGAGAAA
rnacentral:rRNA from 1 species